rnacentral:pre_miRNA from 1 species
CCGGGAUGAGGUAGUACGUUGUAUUGUUGUGGGGUCAGGAUUCAUGCCCCAAUCAGAGAUAACGAUACAACUUACUACUUUCCCCAG